UACGGGGGGGGGCAAGCGUUGUUCGGAAUUACUGGGCGUAAAGGGCUCGUAGGUGGCCAACUAAGUCAGACGUGAAAUCCCUCGGCUUAACCGGGGAACUGCGUCUGAUACUGGAUGGCUUGAGAUUGGGAGAGGGAUGCGGAAUUCCAGGUGUAGCGGUGAAAUGCGUAGAUAUCUGGAGGAACACCGGUGGCGAAGGCGGCAUCCUGGACCAACACUGACGCUGAGGAGCGAAAGCCAGGGGAGCAAACGGG
rnacentral:rRNA from 1 species